CACGCACCGAUCCUCUGGAAAAUUCAGCCAUUGUUGCAUCCCGUGUUAAUGGAGAAAUUUAGAAGAGUAGCUAAUUUGCAGCUUGUGGAGAACUUCGGUGAUGUAUAUUUGUAAGGGAAAGAAGAUACUGUGGAAAAUUAACCGUGGGACUGCCAGUGAACAUUUUUCAGGGAACACCGCUGUGGCAUGCAGCAAUUUUCUGAACCUGACAAGCUAACUUUUGCCAUUGUGCUGACCGCACUGACUGCCGUUAUAUUGAUGUUCUCUUUGGGCGCGCUAAUUUGGCUGAAGCUGAGGCAACUGGCUGACAUACGGAGUCUUCUAUCUGGAACUACGAGUGCUGGUACAGUGAGCAUUUAAGGUCAUUUGAGCUGACAUCCUCAGACAAUUUCUCUGUACAUCAGCUGUCAGAACUAAAUGACACAGUAAGUCUCACAGCAUACCAUAUUGACGGGCAUUUGCUAUUGACACAAAAAAGAUUUAUUUCUAUCAGAGAUUUACAGGAUUAAAAUGUUUUUGGAAGUCGGGAACUGUACAGUCUCAUCGAGCAUUGUGGAGAAAAUGAACUCUGGUGUAAUAUCGCAAUCAAUUUGCCAUUAGUGACACCGUUUUUAAUGAACUGUAUACAUUUGAGUUUAUGAUACUAAUCCAAAGCAAUGAUAUUUUUCAUUUACAAUUUGCUGGAAAUUGCCUGAGUUUGUCUGGAACAAAUCCUGAUUGUGUGUUGCCAAACUAAUGGUUAUUUAUUCAUCCUUUCUCGCAUAGGAAAUGGCAGCUCAAAACUUCCUACUUCAUGUCCAUACCUCCACGGACAUUGUUAGGAAGAUGACUUUAUCUUCCCGUCCAGAAUCUGUUGAUGAGCUAAAAACAAUGAUAAAGGAAAAAUUUAAGCUAGACUUUGACUUUAGCUUAUCAUACCAAGAUCCAGACUUUGAUGGGCAGUUGUGUUCCCUUGUAGAGAUUGAGGAACUUCCACAUAAGGCUGUACUAAAAGUUAUAAGGUCUGAGAGUGAUGUCAGUUCAGUAGCAUCAGAUGACACAAUAAUAUUGCCUCAUGCCCUUACACCAGACAGGACUGAGAGAUGGCCUGAUGUAUUUCCAGUGCCCGCUUUUUCCUACGAGGUAGAGCUCAUUCUUGGUGAGGGAAAUGUUACAUAUGAGAGAACAGGGAAAACCCUUAAACUAUCUAGGGGACAAAAGCACGGCAUCCUUGAGACCCUUGCGGCCAAAAUGCAUAGCUUCAAAGCAUAUCCCAAUGAUAGGGACAUUUCAAUGGUAGCUGAAGCGCUUGUCACUAAGCAUCCUUGUCUAAAAGAGCCAGGAUCUCGGACAGGAUGGUACGGUUGGAAAAAUAGUCUAAAGUUUAAGAUGGGGAACUACC